rnacentral:rRNA from 1 species
CAGAGGGGGCAAGCGUUGCUCGGAAUCACUGGGCGUAAAGGGCGCGUAGGCGGGAUGGCAAGUCGGUCGUGAAAUCCUUCGGCUCAACCGAAGAACGUCGGCCGAUACUGCCGUUCUUGAGGGAUGCAGAGGAGAUUGGAAUUCCCGGUGUAGCGGUGAAAUGUGUAGAGAUCGGGAGGAACACCGGUGGCGAAGGCGGGUCUCUGGGCAUCUCCUGACGCUGAGGCGCGAAAGCGUGGGGAGCAAACGGGAUUAGAUACCCCGGUAGUCCACGCUGUAAACGAUGACGACUAGGUGUGGGGGGGGUUAGUCCCUUCCGUGCCGCAGCUAACGCAUUAAGUCGUCCGCCUGGGGAGUACGGCCGCAAGGUUG